UACGGAGGGAGCUAGCGUUGUUCGGAAUUACUGGGCGUAAAGCGCACGUAGGCGGCUUUGUAAGUCAGAGGUGAAAGCCUGGAGCUCAACUCCAGAACUGCCUUUGAGACUGCAUCGCUUGAAUCCAGGAGAGGUGAGUGGAAUUCCGAGUGUAGAGGUGAAAUUCGUAGAUAUUCGGAAGACCACCACUGGCGAAUGCGGCUCACUGGACUGGUCUUGACGCUGAGGUGCGAAAGCGUGGGGAGCAAACAGG
rnacentral:rRNA from 1 species